CUCGUAGUUGAACCUUGGGAUGGGUCGCACGGUCCGCCUUCGGUGAGCACCGGUCGGCUUGUCCCUUCUGUCGGCGAUACGCUCCUGGCCUUAACUGGCCGGGUCGUGCCUCCGGCGUUGUUACUUUGAAGAAAUUAGAGUGCUCAAAGCAAGCCUACGCUCUGUAUACAUUAGCAUGGGAUAACAUCUAGGAUUUCGAUCCUAUUGUGUUGGCCUUCGGGAUCGGAGUAAUGAUUAACAGGGACAGUCGGUGUAGAGACCCGUUAAAAAAAAA
rnacentral:ncRNA from 1 species